rnacentral:rRNA from 1 species
CACGUACUGUGCGAACGUUAUUCGGAAUCACUGGGCUUAAAGGGUACGUAGGCGGUUAAUCAAGUCAGGUGUGAAAUGCCUGAGCUCAACUGAGGCACUGCGCUUGAAACUGAUUAGCUAGAGUAUUCCAGGGGUGUGCGGAACUUAUGGUGGAGCGGUGAAAUGCGUUGAUAUCAUGAGGAACACCGGAGGCGAAGGCAGCUAACUGGGCCUUGAUUGACGCUGAGGCACGAAAGCGUGGGGAGCGAACAGGAUUAGAUACCCCCGUAGUCC